GAUGAACGCUGGCGGCGUGCCUAAUACAUGCAAGUCGAGCGAACAGACGAGGAGCUUGCUCCUCUGACGUUAGCGGCGGACGGGUGAGUAACACGUGGAUAACCUACCUAUAAGACUGGGAUAACUUCGGGAAACCGGAGCUAAUACCGGAUAAUAUAUUGAACCGCAUGGUUCAAUAGUGAAAGACGGUUUUGCUGUCACGUAUAGAUGGAUCCGCGCCGCAUUAGCUAGUUGGUAAGGUAACGGCUUACCAAGGCAACGAUGCGUAGCCGACCUGAGAGAGUGAUCGGCCACACUGGAACUGAGACACGGUCCAGACUCCUACGGGAGGCAGCAGUAGGGAAUCUUCCGCAAUGGGCGAAAGCCUGACGGAGCAACACCGCGUGAGUGAUGAAGGUCUUCGGAUCGUAAAACUCUGUUAUUAGGGAAGAACAAAUGUGUAAGUAACUAUGCACGUCUUGACGGUACCUAAUCAGAAAGCCACGGCUAACUACGUG
rnacentral:rRNA from 1 species